AUACGAAAGGUGCAAGCGUUGUUCGGAUUUACUGGGCGUAAAGCGUACGUAGGCGGUUGGUUAAGUUAGAUGUGAAAGCCCCGGGCUUAACCUGGGAACUGCAUUUAAAACUGGCGAACUAGAGUUGAGUAGAGGGGAGUGGAAUUUCAGGUGUAGCGGUGAAAUGCGUAGAGAUCUGAAGGAACACCAGUGGCGAAGGCGACUCCCUGGACUCGAACUGACGCUGAGGUACGAAAGCGUGGGUAGCAAACGGGAUUAGAUACCCCAGUAGUCC
rnacentral:rRNA from 1 species